CUAUAACAGCAGCUCCAACAACAACAUCUGCUCCCACAACUACCACCACAGCUACAACUACCACAGUAGUGCUCACAACAACAUCUGCUCCAACAACUACCACAGCAGCUCCAACAACAACAUCUCCUUCCACAACUACCACCACAGCUACAACUACCACAGUAGGGCCCACAACAACAUCUGCUCCAACAACUGCCACAGCAGCUCCAACAACAACAUCCGCUCCCACAACUACCGCCACAGCUACAACUACCACAGUAGUACCAACAACAACGUCUGCUCCCACAACUACCACCACAGCUACAACUACCACAGUAGUACCCACAACAACAUCUGCUCCAACAACUACCACAGCAGCUCCAACAACAACAUCUCCUUCCACAAGUACCACCACAGCUACAACUACCACAGUAGUGCCCACAACAACAUCUGCUCCAACAACUACCACAGCAGCUCCAACAACAACAUCCGCUCCCACAACUACCGCCACAGCAAUAACUACCACAGUAGUACCCACAACAACAUCUGCUCCAACAACUAACACAGCAGCUCCAACAACAAAAUCCGCUCCCACAACUACCGUCACAGCUACAACUACCACAGCAGCUCCAACAACAACAUCCGCUCCCACAACUACCGCCACAGCUACAACUACCACAGUAGUGCCCACAACAACAUCUGCUCCAACAACUGCCACAGCAUCUCCAACAACAACAUCCGCUCCCACAACUACCGCCACAGCUACAACUACCACAGUAGUACCAACAACAACGUCUGCUCCCACAACUACCACCACAGCUACAACUACCACAGUAGUGCCCACAACAACAACUGCUCCAACAACUGCCACAGCAGCUCCAACAACAACAUCCGCUCCCACAACUACCGCCACAGCUACAACUACCACAGUAGUGCCCACAACAACAUCUGCUCCAACAACUACCACAGCAGCUCCAACAACAACAUCCGCUCCCACAACUACCGCCACAGCUACAACUACCACAGUAGUACCAACAACAACGUCUGCUCCCACAACUACCACAGCAGCUCCAACAACAACAUCCGCUUCCACAACUACCGCCACAGCUACAACUACCACAGUAGUGCCCACAACAACAUCUGCUCCAACAACUACCACAGCAGCUCCAACAACAACAUCCGCUCCCACAACUACCGCCACAGCUACAACUACCACAGUAGUACCAACAACAACAUCUGCUCCCACAACUACCACCACAGCUACAACUACUAUAGUAGUACCCACAACAACAUCUGCUCCAACAACUACCACAGCAGUUCCAACAAAUACCACAGCACCUCCAACAACCGCUCUAAGUAGUCCCACACCUGCUCUAACUAACACAACAACAGGAAAAACAACCACAUCUGCAGCCACAACCACCGGACCUCUGACAAUUAGAUAUGUUGUUUUCAGAUCCAUUCAAAGCAAUUUUACAGCAGACUUGUUGAAUUCAUCAUCUGAAGUUUUUCAAACUCGAUCUUCAUCAAUAAAGGUGCAGAUUGAACCUGCUUACAAAAACUCGUUCCCUUCUUCCUUUGUCUCCUUGGCUGUUGUGAGCUUCAGGCAAGGAUCAGUCAUCAACACCAUAGAACUUAAGUUUGUAAACUCAUCUGCUCCAAAUUACACUGAAAUUAGAAAUGUUUUGAUCAGUACAGCAUCAAACGUGACAGGCUUUGACAUCGAAAGGGCCUCCAUCACUGUCAGUGCCACAUUGAUCCCAACAACAAACACAACAACAUCAGGGACUACAGCUACUCCAACAACUAUCGCAAUUACAAAAGCUCCGACUGCACCUGUCCAAGUUUUUCUGUUUCUACAGUUCCUUGAACCAUAUGUACCUGAACUCACAGACCCCACCAGCAGUGUAUAUCAAGAUCGCAAAAUACGAGUUGAAGAGACGUGUGAUAGAAUCUACAAAUCAAAAUUUAUUUUCUUCAUCCGUGCCAUUGUCAUUCGGUUCAGGUAAAACAUGUUUUUAACAGUGAUUAAGUUACUUUCCUCUAAAUUAUUAUUUUAAUUUAAUUUUGAAUGUUAAAAGUGCCAUGCACCAUAGUUAAACCGUUCAAUAAUCUGCAAUCAUUAUCUAACAUCUGACUCACUUUGUUUCAUGGCACAGUCUUUUUAGAGUCCAAACACGAGUGGAUAGAACUGAGACACAGGUGGAGCUUGUGUUCAAUCAAACAGCACCCAAUGCACAAGUCCCAAAUAAUACUACUAUUAUUCAAACUAUGAAAAAGGCUAUUAACAGUUCCAGCAGCAAUUUCAGUAUUGCCAUAGUUCCUGACACUAUAUCAGUAACUUCUGUCAGUGUUACACCUGCUACACCAACUCCUAAUUGCACUAUGACAUCAACUGCUACCCCUUCAAAACCAGCAUCAAUAACUGUGACAACUACGACCAUAAUUUCUACGACAACAGAAAAAACUAUUCAAACAACAACUGCAGUGACCGUGAAAUCUGCUACAACUAAUACUUCAGCAACAACAGUACUUGAACCAGCCACUUUUGUGGCUACUAUGGCACAGGCUCCUACAGCAACCACCAUGGUGUCAUACACAUCUACAACAACAAUAGUGGAAAGUGCAAGACUUCCUUCUUCAGCAGCUACUGCAGAAACAACAAUCACUGUGAGAACGACAACAACUAUUGAAGCACGUAUAUCUGGAAACACAUCUUCAGGAGGAUUGAGCCACAAGACAAGUCUCUACACUGCUUCCUGCCUCAUGUUGUUGACAUGGCUAUUUGCAAACCAUCAAUAGCUAAUUUACAUUUGAAAUACAAGUGCAGGAAAACAAUUACAUUUAUUCCAUUGUUAUCAAAAAUGCAGCAUCCUUGAAUGGCUUAACUGUUGCGUGAAACAUCAUGAAAAUCUAGCCUUGCAUUAACAGACACAGUGGUAUAUCUGGGGGGCAUUUCUGUCUUUUAUUCCCGUAUUUUAAAAUUACCAUUACCUAUGUUUAAGUGCAGUUCAUCUUUGUUUUGGAAAAUGUAAACUGUGAUGCUUAUGAAACAGACAGUUGUUACUCUAACUAAUAAAAGUCCUUCUCUCAUUUGAUGAACCAAAAGAUGAUUUAAAUUAGACAGCAUUCAAAAACGUCGUUAUUUUCACCGUAAAUGCUUAGUUACAGUAUAUUAAAAUUAAUGGAGAGUUUUCCCCCAACUGAUGUAUUAAAAGCUACCAUGGGAUGACUCUUACGGCACACAAAAAUGAAAUUUCCUGCUCCUCACUUCAUAGAAAAAUAAUCACCAAAGCAAUGGAGGUCUUAUCUUUGUAAAUUCACGUCUGACAAGUUGUUAUCAUAGCAUAGUGAUAUUUGACUCCUGUCUGGGCCUUGACUCCCAUGUAAAAUCUUUGUGUCGUUCCUGUUUCUAUCAUUUAAGAAACAUCUUUAAACUGCGACAUGUGGUCUAUUCAGCUGAACUGGAAAAACUCAUUCAUGCAUUUGUGUCAUCACGCUUAGAUUACUGUAAGUCCCUGUUUACUACCUUGGAUAUCUCUCUCUCGCCUCCAGGCAAUACAAAACGCAGCAGCCAGACAAACUCGUUCUAUCAAGCGUGUUCACAUUACUCCGGUCUUAUAUUCUUUACAUUGGCUUCCAAUAGAGUUUAGAAUUCGCUUUAAAAUUCUUGUUUUAACAUACAGAGCACUAAAUGGCCAGGCCCCAGAUUAUUUAUCCAAGCUUCUUAAAAAAAUAAAGUAAAAUAAAAAUAAAAAUACACUGCUGCUCGUCAUCUCCGCUCACAGACUCAGAGUCUGUUGGUUGUUCCCCGUACACGAAUGAAGACAAAAGGGGACAGAGCCUUUCAGUCUGUUGCACCAAGGCUGUGGAAUAGUUUACCGCUACAAUUAUGUUUGCUUGACUCUGUGGAUUGUUUUAAAAAGCAGUUAAAAACAUUUAUGUUCAAACAAGCCUUUUGCUGAUCUAUGUAUUUUAUAUUCUUUACAUUCUUUACAUUUGAUCUUUUACAUUGUGUAUAAUGUCUAUUGAUUGUAUUGUUUAUUUUAAUAUUUGUGUACAGCACUUUGUGACUGCCUGUCUGUGAAAAGCGCUUAAUAAAUAAACUUUACUUACUUACUACUUA
ensembl:lncRNA